rnacentral:rRNA from 1 species
GACGAACGCUGGCGGCGCGCCUAACACAUGCAAGUCGAACGGAGCUGAGAGAAGCUUGCUUUUCUUAGCUUAGUGGCGAACGGGUGAGUAACGCGUGAGUAACCUGCCCUGGAGUGGGGGACAACAGUUGGAAACGACUGCUAAUACCACAUAAGCCCACGAUCCGGCAUCGGAUUGAGGGAAAAGGAUUUAUUCGCUUCAGGAUGGACUCGCGUCCAAUUAGCUAGUUGGUGAGGUAACGGCCCACCAAGGCGACGAUUGGUAGCCGGACUGAGAGGUUGAACGGCCACAUUGGGACUGAGACACGGCCCAGACUCCUACGGGAGGCAGCAGUGGGGGAUAUUGCACAAUGGGGGAAACCCUGAUGCAGCGACGCCGCGUGGAGGAAGAAGGUUUUCGGAUUGUAAACUCCUGUCGUUAGGGACGAUAAUGACGGUACCUAACAAGAAAGCACCGGCUAACUACGUGCCAGCAGCCGCGGUAAAACGUAGGGUGCAAGCGUUGUCCGGAAUUACUGGGUGUAAAGGGAGCGCAGGCGGACCGGCAAGUUGGAAGUGAAAACUAUGGGCUCAACCCAUAAAUUGCUUUCAAAACUGCUGGCCUUGAGUAGUGCAGAGGUAGGUGGAAUUCCCGGUGUAGCGGUGGAAUGCGUAGAUAUCGGGAGGAANACAGUGGCGAAGGCGACCUACUGGGCACCAACUGACGCUGAGGCUCGAAAGCAUGGGUAGCAAACAGGAUUAGAUACCCUGGUAGUCCAUGCCGUAAACGAUGAUUACUAGGUGUUGGAGGAUUGACCCCUUCAGUGCCGCAGUUAACACAAUAAGUAAUCCACCUGGGGAGUACGACCGCAAGGUUGAAACUCAAAGGAAUUGACGGGGGCCCGCACAAGCAGUGGAGUAUGUGGUUUAAUUCGAAGCAACGCGAAGAACCUUACCAGGUCUUGACAUCCGAUGCAUAGCUUAGAGAUAAGUGAAGUCCUUCGGGACAUCGAGACAGGUGGUGCAUGGUUGUCGUCAGCUCGUGUCGUGAGAUGUUGGGUUAAGUCCCGCAACGAGCGCAACCCUUAUUGCCAGUUACUACGCAAGAGGACUCUGGCGAGACUGCCGUUGACAAAACGGAGGAAGGUGGGGAUGACGUCAAAUCAUCAUGCCCUUUAUGACCUGGGCUACACACGUACUACGAAUGGCGUUUAACGAAAGAGAAGCGAGACCGCGAGGUGGAGCGAAAAACUCGAAAAAACGAACGUCUCGGUUUCAGAUUGCGGGCUGCGAACUCGCCUGCGUGAAAGUUCGGAAAUUGCUAGGAAUCGCGGAUCAGGCCUGGCCGCGGUAAAGACGUUUCCCGGGCCCUU